AUGUCCCAGUAGCUCAGCCGGAUAGAGCAUACGCCUUCUAAGCGUACGGUCGGGAGUUCGAAUCUCUCCUGGGACGC
rnacentral:tRNA from 1 species